GACGAACGCUGGCGGCGUGCUUAACACAUGCAAGUCGAACGGAAAGGCCCUGCGUUUGUGAGGUUCUCGAGUGGCGAACGGGUGAGUAACACGUGAGUAACCUGCCCUUGACUUUGGGAUAACUUCAGGAAACUGGGGCUAAUACCGGAUAGGAGCUCCUGCUGCAUGGUGGGGGUUGGAAAGUUUCGGCGGUUGGGGCUGGACUCGCGGCUUAUCAGCUUGUUGGUGGGGUAGUGGCUUACCAAGGCUUUGACGGGUAGCCGGCCUGAGAGGGUGACCGGCCACAUUGGGACUGAGAUACGGACCAGACUCCUACGGGCGGCAGCAGUGGGGAAUAUUGCACAAUGGGCGGAAGCCUGAUGCAGAAACGCCGCGUGCGGGAUGACGGCCUUCGGGUUGUAAACCGCUUUCGCCUGUGACGAAGCGUGAGUGACGGUAAUGGGUCAAGAAGCACCGGCUAACUACGUG
rnacentral:rRNA from 1 species